rnacentral:ncRNA from 1 species
AUUAAAUAAAAUAAAUGUGGUUUUUAAUUAGGGAAUUGUGUUAAAAGCACAAGCUGUACCAGCAACUGUAGAACUGACGAAAGCUGUAAUAUGUAAUAACCACUGAGAAAAUUUCUUGAUAAGGGCAGUAAGUAAGAUGAAGUAAAGCCAGUAGACCUACAAUGUUUUUGAAAUUUGA